AGCAGCCACGGUAAUUCCAGCUCCAAUAGCGUAUAUUAAAGUUGUUGCAGUUAAAAAGCUCGUAGUUGAAUUUCGGGAUCAAUGCGUCGGUCGUGCCUUCGGUACGUACUAGCGUCAUUGAUUCCUCCCUUCUGAAGAACCGUGAUGUCAUUAAUUUGGUGUUACGGGGAAUCAGGACUGUUACCUUGAAAAAAUUAGAGUGUUUAAAGCAGGCUAACGCUUGAAUACAUUAGCAUAGAAUAAUGAAAUAGGACGUUCGAACCUAUUUUGUUAGUUUCUAGGAUCGACGUAAUGAUUAAUAGGGAUAGUUGGGGGCAUUAGUAUUCAAUUGUCAGAGGUGAAAUUCUUGGAUUUAUUGAAGACUAACUACUGCGAAAGCAUUUGCCAAGGAUGUUUUCAUUAAUCAAGAACGAAAGUUAGGGGAUCGAAGACGAUCAGAUACCGUCGUAGUCUUAACCAUAAACUAUGCCGACUAGGGAUCGGAUGAUGUAAUUUUUUAAUGACUCA
rnacentral:rRNA from 1 species